CGGCGGACGGGUGACGUAAUGCCUAGGAAUCUGCCUGGUAGUGGGGGACAACGUUUCGAAAGGAACGCUAAUACCGCAUACGUCCUACGGGAGAAAGCAGGGGACCUUCGGGCCUUGCGCUAUCAGAUGAGCCUAGGUCGGAUUAGCUAGUUGGUGAGGUAAUGGCUCACCAAGGCGACGAUCCGUAACUGGUCUGAGAGGAUGAUCAGUCACACUGGAACUGAGACACGGUCCAGACUCCUACGGGAGGCAGCAGAC
rnacentral:rRNA from 1 species